rnacentral:rRNA from 1 species
UACGUAGGGUGCGAGCGUUAAUCGGAAUUACUGGGCGUAAAGCGUGCGUAGGCGGUUCGUUGUGUCUGUGGUGAAAGCCCCGGGCUUAACCUGGGAAUGGCCAUGGAAACUGGCGAGCUGGAGUGUGGCAGGGGGGGGUGGAAUUCCGCGUGUAGCAGUGAAAUGCGUAGAGAUGCGGAGGAACACCGAUGGCGAAGGCAGCCCCCUGGGCUAACACUGACGCUGAGGCACGAAAGCGUGGGGAGCAAACAGG